UACGGAGGGUGCGAGCGUUAUCCGGAAUAACUGGGCGUAAAGGGCACGCAGGUGGGUUAUUAAGUCUGGUGUGAAAUCCCAGGGCUUAACCUGGGAAUGGCAUUUGAAACUGGGAGUCUAGAGUGCUUUAGGGAAAGGUGGAAUUCCACGUGUAGCGGUGAAAUGCGUAGAGAUUAGGAGGAAUACCAAAGGCGAAGGCAGCCUUUUGGGCUGUUACUGACACUCAUGUGCGAAAGCGUGGGGAGCAAACAGG
rnacentral:rRNA from 1 species